GCCUUCGUGGUGUAGUGGUCAGCACAUCGGCGCGUAUCCAAGAAGUUCGUGGUUCGAUUCCCGGCGAAGGCG
rnacentral:tRNA from 1 species